rnacentral:rRNA from 1 species
GUCUGAUUAGCUAGUUGGUGGGGUAACGGCUCACCAAGGCGACGAUCAGUAGCUGGUCUGAGAGGAUGAUCAGCCUCACUGGGACUGAGACACGGCCCAGACUCCUACGGGAGGCAGCAGUGGGGAAUAUUGGACAAUGGGCGCAAGCCUGAUCCAGCCAUGCCGCGUGGGUGAUGAAGGCCCUAGGGUUGUAAAGCCCUUUCGGCGGGGAAGAUAAUGACGGUACCCGCAGAAGAAGCCCCGGCUAACUUCGUGCCAGCAGCCGCGGUAAUACGAAGGGGGCUAGCGUUGCUCGGAAUCACUGGGCGUAAAGCGCACGUAGGCGGAUUGCUAAGUCAGGGGUGAAAUCCUGGAGCUCAACUCCAGAACUGCCUUUGAUACUGGCGAUCUCGAGUCCGGGAGAGGUGAGUGGAACUGCGAGUGUAGAGGUGAAAUUCGUAGAUAUUCGCAAGAACACCAGUGGCGAAGGCGGCUCACUGG